rnacentral:rRNA from 1 species
AGUGAACGCUGGCGGCAGGCCUAAUACAUGCAAGUCGAACGGCAGCACAGCAGAGCUUGCUCUGUGGGUGGCGAGUGGCGGACGGGUGAGGAAUACGUGGGAAUCUGCCCAGUCGUGGGGGAUAACGUAGGGAAGCUUACGCUAAUACCGCAUGCGCCCUUCGGGGGAAAGCCGGGGACCUUCGGGCCUGGCGCGAUUGGAUGAGCCACGUCGGAUUAGCUAGUUGGCGGGGUAAAGGCCCACCAAGGCGACGAUCCGUAGCUGGUCUGAGAGGAUGAUCAGCCACACUGGAACUGAGACACGGUCCAGACUCCUACGGGAGGCAGCAGUAGGGAAUAUUGGACAAUGGGCGC